rnacentral:lncRNA from 1 species
GCUUUUUAGGUUGUAAUGGGGCUUAGGUGCAAUAUGGGGAAAACAAACAAAAGGGGGAAACUAGUGAUUUAGGCUCAGAGUCCGUGUUGUCAUCCUCAUCACAGUGUUCAAUCGUUUAACUAGAAGGUUUCUUUGGACACCAUUCUUGUUAGGAUUCAUUGGCUCUUAUUUUUCUCUUCUUUUUUUUUUCAUGCGUUCCUUUGAGCAUGCUUUUUGCCAACCUCAAACUUUCUAGAUAAGUGCUUUAUUUUACUUCUCAACUUUUUCAUUC